rnacentral:rRNA from 1 species
AUUGAACGCUGGCGGCAGGCCUAACACAUGCAAGUCGAGCGGAUGAGUGGAGCUUGCUCCCUGAUUCAGCGGCGGACGGGUGAGUAAUGCCUAGGAAUCUGCCUGGUAGUGGGGGACAACGUUUCGAAAGGAACGCUAAUACCGCAUACGUCCUACGGGAGAAAGUGGGGGAUCUUCGGACCUCACGCUAUCAGAUGAGCCUAGGUCGGAUUAGCUAGUUGGUGAGGUAAAGGCUCACCAAGGCGACGAUCCGUAACUGGUCUGAGAGGAUGAUCAGUCACACUGGAACUGAGACACGGUCCAGACUCCUACGGGAGGCAGCAGUGGGGAAUAUUGGACAAUGGGCGAAAGCCUGAUCCAGCCAUGCCGCGUGUGUGAAGAAGGUCUUCGGAUUGUAAAGCACUUUAAGUUGGGAGGAAGGGCAGUAAGUUAAUACCUUGCUGUUUUGACGUUACCAACAGAAUAAGCACCGGCUAACUUCGU